rnacentral:tRNA from 1 species
GGGGUUUUAGCUCAGCUGGGAGAGCGCUACGCUGGCAGCGUAGAGGUCACGGGUUCGAGCCCCGUAAGCUCCACCA